rnacentral:rRNA from 1 species
UGGGGAAUUUUGGACAAUGGGCGAAAGCCUGAUCCAGCAAUGCCGCGUGUGUGAAGAAGGCCUUCGGGUUGUAAAGCACUUUUGUCCGGAAAGAAAUCCUUGGCUCUAAUACAGUCGGGGGAUGACGGUACCGGAAGAAUAAGCACCGGCUAACUACGUGCCAGCAGCCGCGGUAAUACGUAGGGUGCAAGCGUUAAUCGGAAUUACUGGGCGUAAAGCGUGCGCAGGCGGUUUGCUAAGACCGAUGUGAAAUCCCCGGGCUCAACCUGGAACUGCAUUGGUGACUGGCAGGCUAGAGUAUGGCAGAGGGGGUAGAAUUCCACGUGUAGCAGUGAAAUGCGUAGAGAUGUGGAGGAAUACCGAUGGCGAAGGCAGCCCCUGGGCCAAUACUGACGCUCAUGCACGAAAGCGUGGGGAGCAAACAGGAUUAGAUACCCUGGUAGUCCACGCCCUAAACGAUGUCAACUAGUUGUUGGGGAUUCAUUUCCUUAGUAACGUAGCUAACGCGUGAAGUUGACCGCCUGGGGAGUACGGUCGCAAGAUUAAAACUCAAAUGAAUUG